rnacentral:rRNA from 1 species
CUACGUAGGGUGCAAGCGUUAAUCGGAAUUACUGGGCGUAAAGCGUGCGCAGGCGGUUUUGUAAGACAGAGGUGAAAUCCCCGGGCUCAACCUGGGAACUGCCUUUGUGACUGCAAGGCUAGAGUACGGCAGAGGGGGAUGGAAUUCCGCGUGUAGCAGUGAAAUGCGUAGAUAUGCGGAGGAACACCGAUGGCGAAGGCAAUCCCCUGGGCCUGUACUGACGCGCAUGCACGAAAGCGUGGGGAGCAAACAGGAGUAUAUACCCUGGUAGUCCACGCCCUAAACGAUGUCAACUGGUUGUUGGGUCUUAACUGACUCAGUAACGAAGCUAACGCGUGAAGUUGACCGCCUGGGGAGUACGGCCGCAAGGUUGAAACUCAAAUGAAUUGGCGGGG